GAACGUGGAGCAUGUGGCUUAAUUUGACUCAACGCGGGAAAUCUUACCGGGUCCGGACACACUGAGGAUUGACAGACAGUAUUCAUGGCGAGUCUCUCGUCAUAUUUCAAAUGUGCGAGUUCUUUCAUGAUUGUGUGAUAGGUGGUGCAUGGCCGUUCUUAGUUCGUGGAGUGAUCUGUCUGCUUAAUUGCGUUUCAUAUUUACGAAUGUCGCUUACGUGAUUGCUGCAGACCUCGUCUCCUCUGGAGGCGACGCGUCUCUUCAACUCACUCGCACAUUCUCUUGAACGCAACGAGCGUGACCGCAACCUCUUGUUGUGUAUACCAAGUGUGGCGCUGGCUUGCCAGCUCGCACUCCAAUGCACGUAUUUUGGUCACAUUGUCUCGCGGCGCCUCGGCGUUUGCAGCAAUGUCCAAAUAAACUUGAGGGACCGCUGUAACAAUUCUUUUAAACCAGAGGAAGGUUGCGGCAAUAACAGGUCUGUGAUGCCCUUAGAUGUCCCGGGCUGCACACGUGCUACAAUGAUCAGUACAGUGAGCAUCUUUGCAAUACCAGCGUUUGGAGGCCUGGCCGCGCGUCACUUGUGGCGCCGGCUUGCAGUCUCUACGUUGCCUUCCCAAGUCUGACAAGAUUUGGAAAUCCAUUGGAAGUUCUGAUUCGAUAUCCCUAUUGAGCAUUUUUUUACUACAGCGGCGUCUAACUUCGUCCCUCGUCGGUUCGCCUGACUUGUGCGGCACUUGGCGUCUGCUAUAUGCAAUUGUCAAUUCAUAGUGGGGACAGACGAUUGUUAAUUGUUCGUCUCGGUCUCAACUAGGAAUGCCUUGUACGGGUCUUUGGUUCACCAGACCACCCGGAAUACGUCCCUGCCCUUUGUACACACCGCCCGUCGCUCUUACCGAUGAACUUCUCUGUGAGUUUGAGGGACCGUCAAUUGUGUGGCAACACACGACGCUAUGGAAACUUAAACGAACAGUGUGAUUUAAAG
rnacentral:rRNA from 1 species